UACGGGGGGAGCAAGCGUUGUUCGGAUUUACUGGGCGUAAAGGGCGCGUAGGCGGCCUGUUAAGUCGAACGUGAAAUCCCCGGGCUCAACCCGGGAACUGCGUCCGAUACUGGCAGGCUUGAAUCCGGGAGAGGGAUGCGGAAUUCCAGGUGUAGCGGUGAAAUGCGUAGAUAUCUGGAGGAACACCGGUGGCGAAGGCGGCAUCCUGGACCGGCAUUG
rnacentral:rRNA from 1 species